GCCACCAGCUGUGGGCAAUGGCGGACAACGACACACAUAACUCGAACGGCACAGGUCCGGCCGCCCAAGUGUAAUGGAUGUUUGUGUGUGUGUGUGUCUGAAUGGCUGGCGACCAUAGGGCACUCUGAAUGCCAUGGCACUGGAUCCGGCCACCAACUAAGGACGAUGGCGAUGGCAUAACUCGAACGGCACAGGUCCGGCCGCCCAAGUGUAGUGGAUGUUUUGGCAGAGAUGUGUCCAAUCAGUACACAGCGUUCCAGGAUAUCUGGUUGUCAAGAAGGAUCCGUCUCUGGAGUGGCGGCUGGCGUUGGCCCUAACGUUUCUUGUGGUGGCUGUGGAGCUGGGGCAGCCACUGUUGCUGCUGCGAUUGUUGGUGGAUUUUGCGAUGUCACUGGAACUGCUGGAACUGCUGGAGUUGCCGUCACUGCCUGGGAUUGGAUGAGCGAGUGCCUGGCUGCAGGAUCCCUCGCAGGAUUGGCGUUUCGGCUUCAUCUUCUGCCGGGAGCGGUUGUUGGCAGGCUGCUGCUGCUGUCGCUGUCGCUGUUGU
rnacentral:misc_RNA from 1 species